rnacentral:misc_RNA from 1 species
AUCGUCCUCCAUUUCCGUCCACAAUGCAGUACAAGAACUUAGGCAGGUCCGGCUUGAAGGUCAGCCAGUUAUCCUACGGCGCUUGGGUAAGCUUCGGCAAUCAGCUCGAUGUGCGAGAGGCCAAAUCUCUUCUUCAAUGCUGCCGUGACCAUGGCGUCAAUUUCUUCGACAACGCCGAAGUCUACGCCAAUGGCAGGGCUGAGGAGAUCAUGGGUCAGGCCAUUCGGGAGCUCGGAUGGAAGCGCUCCGAUAUAGUCGUAUCCACUAAGAUCUUUUGGGGCGGUCCUGGUCCGAACGAUAAGGGGCUUUCCAGAAAGCACAUCGUUGAAGGUACCAAGGCUUCACUGAAGCGAUUGGAUAUGGAGUAUGUUGAUGUUAUUUACUGUCACCGCCCGGAUUCGUCGACGCCGAUCGAGGAGACGGUGAGGGCGAUGAAUUAUGUGAUUGAUAAAGG